AGGACGAACGCUGGCGGCGUGCUUAACACAUGCAAGUCGAGCGGAAAGGCCCUUUCGGGGGUACUCGAGCGGCGAACGGGUGAGUAACACGUGAGUAACCUGCCCUUCACUUUGGGAUAACCCUCGGAAACGGGGGCUAAUACCGGAUAUGACACAGGUCUGCAUGGGUUUGUGUGGAAAGUAUUUUUUGGUGGGGAUGGGCUCGCGGCCUAUCAGCUUGUUGGUGGGGUAAUGGCCUACCAAGGCGACGACGGGUAGCCUGCCUGAGAGGGCGACCGGCCACACUGGGACUGAGACACGGCCCAGACUCCUACGGGAGGCAGCAGUGGGGAAUCUUGCGCAAUGGGCGAAAGCCUGACGCAGCGACGCCGCGUGGGGAUGAAGGCCUUCGGGUUGUAACCCCUUCAGCAGGGACGAAGCGAAAGUGACGGUACCUGCAGAAGAAGCGCCGGCUAACUACGUGCCAGCAGCCGC
rnacentral:rRNA from 1 species